ACUCGCUUUCAUUCUAGCUGCUUGCAAGCAAAACCAAACAACACGUUUCCUAUCUUUACAAAGCGUUCAGCCAUGUGUUUUCCUUCUUACCUGCACGAAUAUGCGUGAAUUUCAAACAGCUGUAUGGUGAGAAUGGUCCAAUGAAAUGCUUAAUUACAUGGGACCGUGGAGAGGAAAGGUCUGAUAUAAGAUGGAGUGUGAAAGGAAUCGCAGGGAAUUUUGCCCAGUGCCGGAUCCUAAAUCGUGUUCGAGAAUGGAAUGUCCCAAUAUAUCUGAUCUACAGGGAUCAGAUUCUGAAAACACCAAGGGGCUAAAGAAUGGAUCAACAACAAGCCAAUAUCAUGCACAUAAUUUGAGGGAA